rnacentral:tRNA from 1 species
GUUUCGGUAGUUUAAUAUAGAAUGCGGCGGUGAAGUUGCUGUGGUGAUGUAAUGUUCCGGGACA